rnacentral:rRNA from 1 species
CGGGGCUACUGCUCUGUAAUUGGCAUGGGGGCGACCUUCACCCUCGCCCGAGUACCCAUUGGAGGGCAAGUCUGGUGCCAGCAGCCGCGGUAAUUCCAGCUCCAAUAGCGUAUAUUAAACUUGUUGCAGUUAAAAAGCUCGUAGUUGAAUCUCACGUCCGCCCUAGUGUUCCUCACUACGCGGACGCCUCGUUACUUGAGAAAAUUAGAGUGUUUCAAGCAGGCUUUUGUCUUGAAUACUUCAGCAUGGAAUAAUAGAGUAGGACCUUGGUUCUAUUUUGUUGGUUUGGAGCCUUGGUAAUGGUUAAUAGGAACGGUGGGGGGCAUUCGUAUUUAACUGUCAGAGGUGAAAUUCUUAGAUUUGUUAAGGACGAACCACUGCGAAAGCAUUUGCCAAGGACGUUUUCAUUAAUCAAGAAC